GACGAACGCUGGCGGCGUGCCUAAUACAUGCAAGUCGAGCGGACCACUUCGGUGGUCAGCGGCGGACGGGUGAGUAACACGUGGGCAACCUGCCUGUAAGACUGGGAUAACACCGGGAAACCGGUGCUAAUACCGGAUAAUCCUUUCCUUCACAUGAAGGAAAGCUGAAAGACGGUUUCGGCUGUCACUUACAGAUGGGCCCGCGGCGCACUAGCUAGUUGGUGAGGUAACGGCUCACCAAGGCAACGAUGCGUAGCCGACCUGAGAGGGUGAUCGGCCACACUGGGACUGAGACACGGCCCAGACUCCUACGGGAGGCAGCAGUAGGGAAUCUUCCGCAAUGGACGAAAGUCUGACGGAGCAACGCCGCGUGAGCGAUGAAGGCCUUCGGGUCGUAAAGCUCUGUUGUCAGGGAAGAACAAGUACCGGAGUAACUGCCGGUACCUUGACGGUACCUGACCAGAAAGCCACGGCUAACUACGUGCCAGCAGCCGCAGUAACAC
rnacentral:rRNA from 1 species